AGAAGAAUUAUGGUUUGAACUACGUAACAAUUACCUAGACAUCUUUUGGACUUCAGUUAACCUAAAUUAACUCUGCAAAAAGCGCUGUGGAGAACCUGGGUUUUAAUCUAGGGUUUUGCAAGUUCAUGCACCUGGCAGUGGCCUAAGGCGCAGAAGGACCAAACUGAGGUGUCAAGCACUGCAGUAGAUUCUGAAGAUACAAAAAUAAAUAAAACAUUCCUGCCCUCAAGACACUUACACUCUUAUGUGUAACACUGUGUGACCAUUCAUCUGGGCCUUCCUGAGACAGUCUUGGUUUACACCUGUUUUCCCAAUCAGAGCAUCACUGCCUUUCCCACUAUUCUCCUGCAGAAGAGCAGGGGAAGGAAGCACCAGGGUCCAUCAUGGAGAUCACCUGGCCCUAGAAUGGCCUUAUAUCUCUGAGAUACAGACUGACGCUAAUAAAUGAGUUGCUGAUCCUAAAAUAAAAGUGGAAAUCAGGUUUGGAGUUUGAUGUAAAAGCUGGAGAGGCACAGGAAGGGUGUUGCCCUGAACAGCUGACACACCCUCAGCAAUGAAGCUUAGUUUUGCUGGAACUUUUCAGUUGUGACAACUGAGAUUCAGAGAUGUCCAAUCUACUCACAUAAAUAGCCUGGUUGAAGAUGGCUGAGCGUAAAACAGAAUGCAAGUCAGCUGGAGCACGUACUACUGGAGGCAGAGCCCCAUGAGAAGGGGCCAAGAACCCGCACCCAUCAAAAUCAAGAAGAAAGGCUGAACCCGGAGAGAAAAGGGAGCAACUGAUGUUGCCAUGCAGAUCCCUUGGUUGCUAUGAGAUGGUAACAUCACUCUGCCCCACCAUUGGCCAGUGCCUCCUCAGCUGCGGUGCCUCCCAGGCUGUGUGGUUCUCACGCGGGCCACUGACACAGAGCUGUUACUAUGGUGAACUUUACAAUUUCCUUUGAUUGGUGGAUUUCAGAAAUAGGCCAUCAGCGGAAUUCAUUAUAUUCAGCUAAGUAAAAAUGAAAAAUAAAUACUAUAACUUUCCCCUCAUCACUAACAUGAAGGAAACGUGACCCUUCAUGACAUAAUAAAUCGCUGUUCGGUAACUUAGGAUCCUUCAGGGGACUGAAGCGGGAUGAUCCUCCUAUGCCAAAUUUGGGUGGGAAAGAUAUUCCCUGUAGCUUUGAGUCGACUCUUCAGAGUUAAGGGCAGUGGGCCAACCAGAGUUGGAACUUCAGAGUUGGGAGGAGGUGUGGGAUGGGGCAUGCAUUGAAAUGUAAACUCUAUUGUCUCUGAAGUGAUGGGUGAUGCUGGGGGCCUGAGUGUGGAGGGCAGUUUUACAUCUCAGGACAAUGUUUUCUCAGAUGCUCUUCCAGAAAGAAAAGCCAGGAGUACUCCUGGCUGGAGGCGGCAUGCCUGAGGUCAGAGUCAAAGUAGGGUUUGUGCUGUCUGAAUCCUUUCUCCCACUCUCCCCAGCCUGGCUCAGCUUCUCAGCUUCUCAGGUGGAUUGGUGAGUCCUGGCCAAUUACGCUUCAGCUCAUCUCUACUCUCAGCAAAUAGGAAAAGGGAGUGAAGGACUGAGUUUUAACUCUUCUAAUUUCGUAACCUGACUCUCUAUAAGAAAAAGUAGGAGAAAGACUGAAGAACCCGAGAGAACAGGCCUCUGAGCCCAAGCCAAGCCAUCGCAUCCCCUGUGACUUGCCCGUAUAUAUGCCCAGAUGGCCUGAAGUAACUGAAGAAUCACAAAAGAAGUGAAUAUGCCUUGCCCCACCUUGACUGAUGACAUUCCACCACAAAAGAAGUGUAAAUGGCCGGUCCUUGCCUUAACUGAUGACAUUACCUUGUGAAAGUCCUUUUCCUGGCUCAUCCUGGCUCAAAAAGCACCCCCACUGAGCAUCUUGCGACUCCCACUCCUGCCCACUGAGCACCU
ensembl:lncRNA novel transcript, antisense to PELI1